UACGUAGGCAGCGAGCGUUGUUCGGAGUUACUGGGCGUAAAGAGUGCGUAGGCGGUUUCGUAAGUCUGGUGUGAAAUCUCCCGGCUCAACUGGGAGGGUGCGCCGGAAACUGCGGGGCUGGAGUGUGGGAGAGGCAAGCGGAAUUCCUGGUGUAGCGGUGAAAUGCGUAGAUAUCAGGAGGAACACCUGCGGUGUAGACGGCUUGCUGGACCACUACUGACGCUGAGGCACGAAAGCGUGGGGAGCAAACAGG
rnacentral:rRNA from 1 species